AAAGGAUGUCCUGAGGCUGGAAUGUCUUUGGCUCUGCUGGCUCCAAGAACAACACCUGCACAGCUGUAUGGAGGAGAGUGAGGGAACAGAUUGAAUUUUGCACAAAAGCACUAGAAAUCUUAGGCAGCAGCUGCCUUUGAGGCUUCUCUGGCAAAGAUGGGUUCUGAAUUCAAAAUGAUGAACUUGAGAUCAUCGGCCCUUCAUCUUUGACUCCAAUAACAGGACAGAAUUCACCUGAGUCAGGUGAAUAACUGCAGACUAUGGACAUCUUGGUAUGGAAGGGCUUUGUCUUCAAGGAGUGAAAGGGACACACUCCACUACAGGCACAGAAUCACAGUCCUGGAGGCCACCCCAUCAGACAGCCCUCAGACACCACCUCUUCCACUCCGUACUCUCCUGAGGGGACAGGACUCAUCCAGGCUCUCAUCAAGUCUGCAACUUGUGAUUUGUCUCUUCCAAGCAGAGUUUGGUGGUGAGAAUUCUGACUGAUUUUGUGUCUAUUAGCUACUUCAACAGUUAUUGGCAAGGAUAUCAUGGAUACAUUGUUUAAAUUGUCUAAACCUUGGAUUCCUCUUCUGCAAAAUGAGGAAAAUGAUAACUUCAGAAAGCAGAGAGCCCCUUUUUGGGUGUCUUGGCAUCAUGUGUAGCAGAAACAAACUCCUUUAAAAAAAUCUACCAGCAAUCUUUCCCAUUGCUCCCACGAGUAGUCAUUUUUGCAGGAAGUCUGCGCUUUGGUCUUGGAUAAGCCUUUUGAUGGACUUUUGGGUUAUACAAAAGUGAUGCCCAGCUCCUGUUUCUCAAAUAGUGAGGUUGAGAUGAUGAGAAGAUAAACUGCUUUGCCUGGGAAAUGCCAACUGAGAAGACAAUUUGCUGGACUGCUGCCAGCGUGGGAAUUGGCUGGCAUGGCGGAAAACAUUGGUGUUCUUUGUUUGUUUCUCCUUGCUGGUUCAGGAGGACAGUUGAGGUGCCUGGGUGGUGAGGCAUGCCAGAGGGUGAAUUGGACACUGAUGGGAGGACAGAUGAGGGCACUGGAGGUGGGGAGUUUUUCCCCUUUUUCUUUGAGCUCCCAAAAAGUUUUGAAAGGUAUAUUUCAAAAUAGAAGCACAUGGCCAGAGGCCCUUCAUGGUAGGGGGCCCCCUGUAAUAUGGCAACAGGCAAGGAUACGGGAGUCUAAGGAAAGAGGGACCAGAGGGUUUCCUCAUGGGGGCUUAUUAGGAGCCAUAAUACCUAGUAUUCAGUUGAAGUUUCUUUCUUUUUCCUUUAUCCAUGUUUUGUUUUCUGAUUAUUCUCAAUUCCUCACCAAGAUUCUGCUAAACAUUUAGUUCUGCCUGUUCUUACUAAGUGUUGAAGAAUUAAGUCAGAACUAAAGUCUAGACUUGGGGGCAAAGGGCUCUGGAGAGAAUGCAUCUGUAUAGUGUGAGGCUGGAGUUAAGAAACAGCUGGACUGAACCCAGGAGUGGACAGUGCCCUGAGCAAGGGGCUGGCUGAGCAGGGAUCAUGCGGGACACAUUGGUAAAAACAUUUCUCUUGGCCUUUGGGGAAUACUAGGGCAUGGGAACCUGACGGAAGGACAGACUUCAUGGAGUCGCCCAGGAAUGGGGCUUGAACUCUUGAGAUGGAAGUUGUUGGUGCAUUGCAGAGCUAACUGGUUUCUGCUUUUCCCAUCCAGAUUCUGAGAAAUAGACCUAGGAGUUGAGAUGCA
rnacentral:lncRNA from 1 species